UGGGGAAUAUUGCACAAUGGGCGCAAGCCUGAUGCAGCCAUGCCGCGUGUGUGAAGAAGGCCUUCGGGUUGUAAAGCACUUUCAGCGGGGAGGAAGGCGAUAAGGUUAAUAACCUUGUCGAUUGACGUUACCCGCAGAAGAAGCACCGGCUAACUCCGUGCCAGCAGCCGCGGUAAUACGUAGGGCGCGAGCGUUGUCCGGAAUUAUUGGGCGUAAAGGGCUUGUAGGCGGCUUGUUGCGCCUGCUGUGAAAACGCGGGGCUUAACUUCGCGCGUGCAGUGGGUACGGGCAGGCUUGAGUGUGGUAGGGGUGACUGGAAUUCCAGGUGUAGCGGUGGAAUGCGCAGAUAUCUGGAGGAACACCGAUGGCGAAGGCAGGUCACUGGGCCAUUACUGACGCUGAGGAGCGAAAGCAUGGGUAGCGAACAGG
rnacentral:rRNA from 1 species